UAACCUGCCCAAGAGAUCGGGAUAACACCUGGAAACAGAUGCUAAUACCGGAUAAUAACAGAUGAUGCCUAUCAACUGUUUAAAAGAUGGUUCUGCUAUCACUCUUGGAUGGACCUGCGGUGCAUUAGCUAGUUGGUAGGGUAACGGCCUACCAAGGCGAUGAUGCAUAGCCGAGUUGAGAGACUGAUCGGCCACAUUGGGACUGAGACACGGCCCAAACUCCUACGGGAGGCAGCAGAU
rnacentral:rRNA from 1 species